rnacentral:piRNA from 1 species
UACUAUUAAUAAGUGUUGAAUCUCUCCUC